rnacentral:rRNA from 1 species
CAGCACCUCAAGUGGUCAGGAUGAUUAUUGGGCCUAAAGCAUCCGUAGCCGGCGCUGUAAGUUUUCGGUUAAAUCUGUACGCUCAACGUAUGGGCUGCCGGGAAUACUGCAAAGCUAGGGAGUGGGAGAGGUAGACGGUACUCGGUAGGAAGGGGUAAAAUCCUUUGAUCUAUUGAUGACCACCUGUGGCGAAGGCGGUCUACCAGAACACGUCCGACGGUGAGGGAUGAAAGCUGGGGGAGCAAACCGGAUUAGAUACCCGAGUAGUCC